UACAGCACUCCCUGGCCGCCUCUUCAGCGUCGACACGAUGCUGCUAGAAGGGUCGCGGCUGCCGCCCAGAAGACGCGUGGCUGGCGUCAUGGGUUCUCGGACAGAAACGACCCUUGAAAGGCUUCUGAGGGGAAGCAAGAUGGCGACGCAGAGCUGACCAUGUGCAGGCCUCUACCACAUGAUUGUUUUGGGCUGUUCAGUUACAAGGCUGCUCAACACUACCAGGUUGCUGUGUGCUGCCUCGUGUAGACUGGUUCAUCUGUACUGUUGAUCAUCUUGUAGGGUAGUUUCACAGCUGGACUGAGAGCUUUUGCUCAUCUGGAGUGUGGUCCCAGUGGAGCUGUGCUUGGUGAAGGACUGUCAAAUGAAUCAGGAUUGUUGUAUUUAAUGUGUUGAAUAAAAAAAAAAAAAAUCUUCAA